AGUUUGAUCCUGGCUCAGAAUCAACGCUGGCGGCGUGCCUCAGACAUGCAAGUCGAACGAUUAAACUUCUCUUCGGAGAAGAUAUAAAGUGGCGCACGGGUGAGUAACACGUAGGUAAUCUACCUUUGAGUGGGGAAUAACUUAGGGAAACUUAAGCUAAUACCGCAUAAUGCAGCGGCAUCUUCGGAUGACAGUUGUUAAAGGAGCAAUUCGCUUAAAGAGGAGCCUGCGGCAGAUUAGCUAGUUGGUAAGGUAAUGGCUUACCAAGGCGACGAUCUGUAACCGACCUGAGAGGGUGGUCGGUCACACUGACACUGAAUAACGGGUCAGACUCCUACGGGAGGCAGCAGUCGGGAAUUUUGGGCAAUGGGCGAAAGCCUGACCCAGCAACGCCGCGUGAAGGAUGAAGUCUCUCGGGAUGUAAACUUCGUAAGAAUAGGAAGAAUAAAUGACGGUACUAUUUGUAAGGUCCGGCUAACUACGUGCCAGCAGCCGCGGUAAUACGUAGGGACCAAGCGUUGUUCGGAUUUACUGGGCGUAAAGGGCGCGUAGGCGGUUUGUCAAGUCAGUUGUGAAAUCUCCGAGCUUAACUCGGAACGGUCAACUGAUACUGUCAAACUAGAGUACAGAAGGGGCAAUCGGAAUUCUUGGUGUAGCGGUGAAAUGCGUAGAUAUCAAGAGGAACACCUGAGGUGAAGACGGGUUGCUGGGCUGAUACUGACGCUGAGGCGCGAAAGCUAGGGUAGCAAACGGGAUUAGAUACCCUGGGUAGUC
rnacentral:rRNA from 1 species